rnacentral:rRNA from 1 species
UACGUAGGGUGCGAGCGUUGUCCGGAAUUAUUGGGCGUAAAGAGCUCGUAGGCGGUGUGUCACGUCGGCCGUGAAAACCUGCAGCUUAACUGUGGGCGUGCGGUCGAUACGGGCAUCACUGGAGUUCGGCAGGGGAGACUGGAAUUCCUGGUGUAGCGGUGAAAUGCGCAGAUAUCAGGAGGAACACCGGUGGCGAAGGCGGGUCUCUGGGCCGAUACUGACGCUGAGGAGCGAAAGCGUGGGGAUCAAACAGG